rnacentral:rRNA from 1 species
AGUGAACGCUGGCGGUAGGCCUAACACAUGCAAGUCGAACGGCAGCACAGUAAGAGCUUGCUCUUACGGGUGGCGAGUGGCGGACGGGUGAGGAAUACAUCGGAAUCUACUUUUUCGUGAGGGGUAACGUAGGGAAACUUACGCUAAUACCGCAUACGACCUACGGGUGAAAGCAGGGGAUCUUCGGACCUUGCGCGAUUGAAUGAGCCGAUGUCGGAUUAGCUAGUUGGCGGGGUAAAGGCCCACCAAGGCGACGAUCCGUAGCUGGUCUGAGAGGAUGAUCAGCCACACUGGAACUGAGACACGGUCCAGACUCCUACGGGAGGCAGCAGUGGGGAAUAUUGGACAAUGGGCGCAAGCCUGAUCCAGCCAUACCGCGUGGGUGAAGAAGGCCUUCGGGUUGUAAAGCCCUUUUGUUGGGAAAGAAAAGCAGCAGGUUAAUACCCCGCUGUUCUGACGGUACCCAAAGAAUAAGCACCGGCUAACUUCGUG